CACCACCGACGUUUGUCUUUGAUGAUAGUUCUGCUUCGAUGAAGAAUGGGACUUCUUUUUGUUCAUCUUCGUUCUAUUUCAUAGCACCUUGUAAGAUCUCUUCGUACUCAGACGCAUUAUAAUGCGUAACCCGUGCACCCACUUUCGAGACCAUAACCUCGAAAUUUUCCAGCCACAGCGAAAAGACCAAGGCGGAGAAGAUUUCUGAGAGAUCAUGGAGGGCUCUGUCGCACUAUAUUGAUUUUCAUUCCUAUCAGGGUGGUGCUUUUUCCACUGGCUGUUGACUUCUUCUUGUACUCGUCGCGUUUCGUUGUGGCGGUAACAUCUCUCUCUCCUCCGAUGAUGUUUUUAUUUCUGCUAUGCAUUGUUCAAAGAGAACAAUUGCACUUUAACUUUGAAACUGCUAGCUGUUUUUGGUGAUCUGGCAGCGGUUUUCGCAGGUGUGGUUGAUACUGCUGUUUGUGGAACGGCAACUGCUGGUGCAGGUGACGAUGCUGGAACGUGUUCUUCGGUAGGUUUCCGC